CCUACGGGUGGCAGCAGUGAGGAAUAUUGGUCAAUGGGCGGGAGCCUGAACCAGCGAAGCCGCGUGAGUGAAGAAGGUACAGCGUAUCGUAAACCUCUUUUGUCAGGGAACAAAGGCGGGGACUAGUCCCCGGAUGAGGGUACCUGAAGGAAAAGCAUCGGCUAACUCCGUGCCAGCAGCCGCGGUAAUACGGAGGAUGCGAGCGUUAUACGGAUUUAUUGGGUGUAAGGGGUUCGCAGGCGGCCUGUUCAGUCCGCGGUAAAAGCCCGGGGCUAAACCCCGGAGAGCCGUGGAAACUGGAGGGCUGGAGGGGGAGAGAAGUACGCGGAAUGCGCGGUGUAGCGGUGAAAUGCUUAGAUAUCGCGCAGAACCCCGAUUGCGAAGGCAGCGUACCGGCUCCAAACUGACGCUGAGGCACGAAAGCGUGGGUAUCGAACAGGAUUAGAUACCCCUGUAGUC
rnacentral:rRNA from 1 species